rnacentral:rRNA from 1 species
CGGCAUGCCUUACACAUGCAAGUCGAACGGCAGGCACGGGUGCUUGCACCUGGUGGCGAGUGGCGAACGGGUGAGUAAUAUAUCGGAACGUACCUUAUCGUGGGGGAUAACGCAGCGAAAGCUGCGCUAAUACCGCAUACGCCCUGAGGGGGAAAGCGGGGGACCGUAAGGCCUCGCGCGAUUAGAGCGGCCGAUAUCUGAUUAGCUUGUUGGUGGGGUAAAAGCCCACCAAGGCGACGAUCAGUAGCUGGUCUGAGAGGACGAUCAGCCACACUGGGACUGAGACACGGCCCAGACUCCUACGGGAGGCAGCAGUGGGGAAUUUUGGACAAUGGGGGCAACCCUGAUCCAGCAAUGCCGCGUGAGUGAAGAAGGCCUUCGGGUUGUAAAGCUCUUUUGUCAGGGAAGAAACAGCAGCUCUAACACAGUCUGCGAAUGACGGUACCUGAAGAAUAAGCACCGGCUAACUACGUG